UAAUAAUAAAAAUUUAAAUAAUAAUAUUUAUUAAUUAAAAUAAACAAACUAAAAUAAUUAAAAUAUUUAAAAAUAUAAUUAAAUAAUAAAAAUAUAAAUAAAUAGUCAAUUAAAAAUUAAUAAAAAAAAUUAAUGUUAAUAAAUUAAUCUAAAAGAAUCUAAAAUAAGAUAAAAAUAAUAUCAAAUAAUAAUAAUAAUAAUAAAAAUAAAGAUAAAAAUAAUAUCAAAUAAUAUAAAAAUUUAAAUAGUCAAUUAAUCAAAAAGAUUUGAUUAAAAGAAUCGAUGACAAUAUAGAAAAUAACAUCAAAGCAAAUUAAAGGGGUUAUUAAGAAUACUUAACAAAUUUAUAUAAAAAGGAGGUUAUAAAUACCAAAUUUUUUCUAGUUUAUUUUAUUUUUGGAAUAAACUAACUUAAGAAAAGACUCCUAAGGUAAACCAUAUUUAAUAAAUACUUCCUGAAGUAAAACAUUUUAUUAAGGAAAGGAAAGGAAAUCAACCGAGACUCCAAAAGUAAUGGUGAGUGAAAUUGGAUUAGCCUAAUAAAAAAUAAAGAAUUGAAAACUAAAAUAGGUAAUUAACAAUUAUAGUAAUAUGAUUAGUUCGUAAGUCCUGUAAAUUUUUUAUUUUUUAAAUAAUCACAAAAAGUUUAGAUUAUAUAUAAAUUUAAUUUUAAAUCAAAUUUCUGUUAAAGUAAUUUUGGUUUAAUUUAAUUGGUAUAUAUUUUCUUUAUUAUAAUAAAAUUAAUAUUUUUUAUAUUUAUUAAAAUUUUGUUAGUGUAAAAGUACAAUGAGUGUUAACUUGUUGGAAUAUAGGGGAACCAUCCUCUAAGGCUAAGUAUAUAUAAAUUUAGUGAUAGUGAACAAAAGUACUGUAAAGGAAAAGAUAUGAAAAAGGAAUUUGUGUUAAACAUGAAAAUGAAAUAGAAAUUGAAUUAGUAACUCUAUAAGCAGUCGAAAUUCAAAAAAUUAAAUUGAAUGACGGCGUACCUUUUGCAUAAUGGGUCAGCAAGUUAAUAAGAGUAGCAAGGUUUAAAGCCCUAGCGAAAGCGACUGAACUAUUUUUAUAAUAUAGUGUUGGAUUAGUUACUUUUAUUAGACCCGAAGCCAGGUGAUCUUACCUAGACCAGAUUAUAAUGGAUCGAACGGGUGAAUGUUGCAUUAUUCUCCGAUGAGUUUAGGUAAGCGGCGAAAUACCAAUCUGACCUGGUGCUUUCUGGUUUUCUACCGAAACAUAUUUUAGUAUGACAUCUACCACAAGAUUUAUGGAGGUACAGAAAGGCAAUUCCAAACAAGAAUUAAAUUAUUUUUUAGAAAAUAGAAAAUAAUUUUUUAGGCGUUUAGGUUGAGGGGACGUGAAAAUCCUACCUUUGGAAGCGAAACUCGAAAUUACAUAAAUUGAUAGUAGAUAUUCAGACUGCUCAUGCUAAGUUGAGUAGUCAAGACGGAAACAGCCGAGAACACGGAUUCAAGGUCCCGAAUGAUUGUUAAGUGAAAAUUAAGGUCGUUGACAAAUUCUUAUACAGUUGUAAAGUGAGCCUGGCAGUCGCUACUUAUAAUGAACGUAAUGUAACAACGCAUCAGCAGUAUGGUUUGUUGCGCCGAAAAUUUAACGGGUCUAAACAAUCAACCGAUACCGUGUUGGUAUUAAAUAUAUAAAUUAAUUUUUAUUUAUUUUUUAUCUAGGUAGUAGAACAUUCAGUCAAUCUAAUGAUUAAAUAGUGUUUCAUUAUUUAUAGGUAACUGAAGAGAGAAUGCUGACAUGAGUAACGUAAAAGAAGAUAUAAUUCUUCUCGCCGAAAACGAAAGGGUUUCAUAUCAAGUUUAGAACGGGUAUUGAUUUAUAGCGGCCUCUAAGGACUAUAACCAAAGUUAUGGCUGAUGAGUAUAUAAUAGAAAGUCCUAUAUGGACCAAGAAAAUAAUAUUAUUUAAUUAUAAUCAUUAUUUAAGUUUAUAAUAUUAUUUAAUUUUAUUAUGAAAAUUAUUUCUAACCUUUUAAAAGUUCUUUAAUUAAUAUUUUAAGUUAAUCGAAAUAUUAACAUUUAAGUAUUUUUUAAUUUAAAAAAUUUUAUUAUUAAAUUUUUUUUAUAAGUUUAAUUAUAAGUAAUAGAUAAUCUAAAAAAUAAAAUAAAAUUUAACUAUUUAUAUUUUUCUUUUUACUUUAACAUUUAAAUUAGUCAAUAGUUUAAAAAAAAUAGAAAUUGAGAUCGGUGGAUCUUUAUAAAUAAGUUUUUUUAAUUUAUUCAUUUAAAUUAGAAAAUUAGUUUAUUUAUUCUUUAUUUUUUUAAAUUUAUAAUAAUUCUUUUAAUUAUUUUAUUUUUCGCUCAUUAUUUUUAAUAAAGAGUGCUGAUCCUUUUUACUUUUAAGUUUAAUUAGUUAAUAAUUUUAUUUAUAAAGUUAAGGAUAAUUUAUAAUAUUAAAAAUUAAAACUAUAGUCUUUUAAAUAUUAUUAAAAAUAUUCGUUUUUUUUUUAAGAAAUUAUAAUAAAAUAAUAAACAAUUAAAAUAUUUUAUUAUAUUAAUAAUAUUUAUUUUUCAAAUAAUUUAAUUUUUAAAUAUUAGGUUAUAUUUUAUAUUUUAAAUAUAAGAUAUCAAAUUUUUUUAAUUUGGAGAAGUUUUUAUAGAGUGAUAAAAUUAUUUGAUAUUUUUUUUAAUGAUUUAUUUUUAUUACUACCGUACCUUAAACCGACACAGGUUCGUUGGUAGAGUAUACUAAGGCGUAGAGCUAAAAGUUGUAAAGGAACUCGGCAAAAAGCCCUCAUAAGUUCAACGAAAAGAGGUGCCUGCUGUUUUUAAUAUUAAAAUAUUAAUUACCGUAUGGUUAAGUAAAUCGGAGGCCCCGACUGUUUACUAAAAACACAAGAAAAAGCAAACACGAAAGUGAUAGUAUUUUUUCUGACAUUUGCCCGAUGCCAUUAAUAUAAGAAAGGUCAUUGAAAAAUGUGACUGAUUGAAAGUCUGGUUAAUAGCGGUCUUAACCAUGAGGAUCCUAAGGUAGCAAAAUCAGUUGGCCAUUAAAUGUGGUCCGGUAUCAAUAAUCUAACGAUGGUCUCACUGUCUCUACAACUUGCUCAGUGAAAUUGAAUUACCCGUGAAGAUGCGGGUUAUCUGUAGGGGGACGGGAAGACCCUAUGCAGCUUCUACUGUAGUUAGUUAUCAUGGGUAUCUAGAACAGUCUUAAUUUUUAGUGAAUAGGUAUUGUCGAAAGAUUUUUAAUUUUUUUUAAUUAAGUGUAAAACCUUAUUAAGAUUGGGUAUUUGUUUACCUUAUUUGUUUUAUAAUUAAAUUUAUAAUCUCAUACAAAGAGGGAGAGUUGACUAAUUGGCAGUUUGACUGGGGCGGUCGUCUUUAAUAGAGUAGCAAAGUACAAUCCAAAUAUUUUCACAAAUUAAAAGAAAUAAAAUUAUUGCAUUAUUUUUUUUAAUAAAUUAAUAUAUUUUUAUAUAAAAAGGAAAUAUAUUUAAUUUUUUUUAGAUUUUUUAAUUUAUUUUAUUUAAUCUUUAUAUUAAUUAUUUUUACAUCAAUUUAAACAUUUAAUAUGUUAUUAUAAUUUUUUAUUUUUUAAUUUUAAUUAAUAAUUUAUUUUAUUGAUUAAAUCUAAAUUAUAAUUUAUUUUUAUAUAACUCUUUUUUAUAAUCUUUAUUAUCUUUUUAAAUUUUAUUAAGAUAAGUCAAUAAUAGAUUUAAACUUAUAAUUAUUAUCUACUUUUAUUUUUAUAUUUUUAUUAAUAUUUAAAUAACUAAGAUUAACUAAUUAUAAUAAAUAUUAUAUUAAUUUUUAAUAAUUAAGUAAUAUUACAAAAUAAAUAAAAGGUAUAGCUAGAUGUUGUAUGGAGAACAACUCAACCAAUGAAGGGUUGCGCAGAGUUUAAUGGCGGAAAGCAUGCUUAACUGAAAGACCUAUAAGUCGCUCAGAUACGUAAGUAGGGCAUAGUGACCCCUCGCUAUAGUAUGGAAUAGACGGGGAUCAAUAGAUAAAAGUUACGCUAGGGAUAACAGGCUGAUCACCGACGAGAGUACACAUUGUCUCGGUGGUUUGGCACCUUGAAAUUUUAAUUAAUUUUACUUAAAUAACAGUAAUUUCUAUUUAAACAUCGGGGAUUUUUAAUAGUAAUAUUAAAUUAGUAGUUGUUAAUAUGCUGGAAUAUCCUUAGAGCUUUCAAUAUUAAUUUAUUUAAUCUAAAUUUGAAAGAUUGGACAAUCAGCAAGGAAUAAUAUCCUUCAACGAACAUAACACAACACCUAAAUAAUAUCAAUUUGCUCUUGAUACUAGGUGAAAAUAUGAUCUAAUCUUAAUCUAAAGAUUAAGUACAUAAUUAUAAAUAUUUUUAUAUUUUUAAUUAUAUUUAUUGCGAUGUCGACUCAUCCUAUCCUCCGGGGGUAGAAGCUUGGAAGGGUUCGGCUGUUCGCCGAUUAAAAGGGUACGCGAGUUGGGUUUAAUACGACGUGAGUCAGUAUGGUCCCUAUCUUCUACAGAGAAAAUUAGUAAAAAGAGGUAGACCUUCUAGUACGAAAGGAUCAAUAGGCUGUGUUUCUCUAGUGUACCAAUUGUUUAAUAAUUAUUAAGUAUUAUUUAUAUUUUAAAUAAAACAUAACACUUUAUAUUUUUACUUUUUUACUGUUUGAUUCAAAUAUUUAUAUUUGAAGAUAAAAAAAGUAAAUUAUUAUUGAUAAUAGUUAGUAAGGCAUUGUUGGGUAGCCACAAACAUUGUAGAUAAGUGCUGAAAGUAUAUAAAGCAAGAAUCUACCCUCUAGAUACUACAAACGAAUCUUUUAACUAUAUAUUAUAUAUAAAAUUAAAUUACAAUUUUUUAUAAUUUUGAUAUUAACCUUUUUUUUAUUUUUAAACUUUUAAACAAUUAAUUAAUUUUAAUUUUUUAGUUGUUAAGGAAUAAUUUAAAGGUAUUACCCAUUAUUAGUUAAUUUUAAUUUAUAUAUACUUAAAAGUUUAAAAUCGUUAAUUAAGAAAUAGAACAUUUCUAGAUAGGCUGCAAAUGUAAACGCUUUAAGGAUCGCCUUAAAAAAAAUUUAAUUUUUUUAAAAGUUUAGCAGUACUAAUUUAUAAAUACGCUUGA
rnacentral:rRNA from 1 species